rnacentral:tRNA from 1 species
GGUUCUGAGGUGUUUCACGUCGGAUUGCAAAUCUGAAGAAGUCAGCUAGUUGUUGGCCAGGGCCU